GACGUAGUCGAUGGACAACAGGUAGAGAUUCCUGUACUGCAUAUGGACAGAACUGUGGGGACACAGGAGGAUAAGCCAGGCCGGGAAUGGAAAGACCGGCCCAAGCACAAAGGUAUGGCUGGCAGGCAAACCCGCCGGCAUGAGCCGAAGUGUGAUGGGGAGCGAAAAAUAAGUAGCGAAGUGGCUGAAUCCAUACUGUCGAGAAAAGCCGCUAUUGUUCCAUAUGUACCCGUACCGUAAACCGACAC
rnacentral:rRNA from 16 species